AAAGAAUGGAAGUGGGAGUGGCAUCAUUCACUACUGCGCCUAGUGACUCACAAGCAAAAUGUUUACUUCCUGUUUCCAUGACAUUAUGCUCUGCUGGCCUAGACGUCUUAGUUCCAGAGGAUGGAAUGCUUCACCAGGAGACACAAGAAUAAUUUCCUUGACCUGGGAGUUAAGACUGCCACCCAGCCACCUUGUGCUCUCCAUGCUGCUGAUUCAACAGGCAAAUAAGGAAGUUAUGGUGUGGGCUACAGUGAUUGAUCUGACUAACAAGAGGGAAAUUGCUCCACCAUGGGGGUGAGGGAGAGUACAUCUGGAAUACAGAAGUUCCCUUAGGACACCCUUAGUGUUCCCACACAUUGCGAUUAAGGCCAGUGGAAAACUACAAUAACUCAGUUCAGGCGGAACAACUCAUGGGGCAGAAUCUUCAAGGAAUGAAGAUUUGAGUCCUUCUACCAGGUUUUGCAGAGUGCCUCCAGAAAUAAAAGUGUUACAAAAGAAUCACUUCAGAAAACCUACACUUAGAGAGUCCAUUUGAAAAUUGCCCUAUUUGAAAUGAAGUGGAGAUCAGUAAUAACAAGGACUUCCCCAUAUAACCCAAGGUCCUACUGGGUUAGUGUGAUCUUCUGCGGAAGGCUGCAGCUGCUGUCAGGAGGCCCUCUGUCUACACUCCUCUCUGGAGAAGUGUAAGUGUUUUGUCAGGUCCCUUUUAAACUGAAGCAUAGUGAGAACAAGUGUAAAGCACAACACAGACGGAAGAUUGCACCUUAGCUCACUGCCCCGUGCACCCCGGUUACACCGUCUAAGAAAACACUCUGGAUUCAAUCCUUGGAAAAUUUGUCUCCAUGAGGUCAUACAGCUGCUUGAGGUUGCUCGGAGAGUAAGAAGCAGAAUGAGAACUAGAACAGAAGCUCACUUUGGCCUGAAGGCUCAUGUGCUGAGCAUCUUCCCUUGUCUGUCUCCACCCCUAGCCUGGUGCCCAGCAUGUAGAAGACCUUCAUCCUAGAUGCAAUGGGAUUAAACUUGGAGAAAAUGGGAUUAAACUUGGACAAACACUACCUAUUUGGACUUGUGAUGAUGGCUUUCAAACUUCUUAAAGCAAUGAAGUAUUUUUUCCAGAAGAAACCUUACACAAGAAGCCCAGCACACUGAGUCAAGCAUAUGUAGGUGGAAGAUAUCUGGUUGAGACCAAGUAGAGAUAAACCUGUAGAUUCAACUGUGCCACCACAGUGAAUUCUAAGAAUCCACUGACUGUGAUCUGUAAGCUCCUACUCCACAGGAGGUCAGGGCACACAGCUUGAAACCGGAAGGCAGAAGAGUGACAGGGAAGGGUCAUGGACUCUGAAAUUAGAGCUAUCUGUGUUUUAAUACUAGUUCCAAUAGGCACAUGGUCUUGGAUAAAUGGUUUAAAUUAUCUGAGUCUCAAUUUCUUUCUCUGCAAAAAGGGAUGAUUAGUACAUAUGUAAUAGGGUUUUUAUAGAAAAUUGUAUAACUUGUUAAACACACAUGUACUAAGUGCUUGGUGCCCAGUAUGCACUGAAUAAAUGCUAGCUCCUUGCCUUUCAUCUCUAUGACCCUUCCCAAAUCUCUCAGCCCCAUAUUGCUUCAUGUAGUGUGUGUAUAUUUGGGAAAAUUUGUGUGCAUAUUUACAGAUGGGAUCCUACUCUUCUAUUGACAGACUGUCUUUUCAGAUGUGCCUUACUUUCAUUGCAUUGGUUUUUCAACUGAAAGUGAACAUAAAGGUUUUAAGCAUGCCUAGGUCUUAUCUUUUUGGUCAAAUAUCUAACACCCUCAAUAACAGUUGUAAAUCAUUCUUUUGUAAUUUGAUCAUUCAUUUUUAUAAAGUAAAACACAACUGCCCACUGUAAAAAUAGACUUCAUUUGCUCUUUUCUUCCAGUGCAGCAAAUGACAGACACUUUAAGAACACACAUUUAACUUCAGCAAACAAAUCAUGUAUAUUUUAGACAUAACUGUCAAGUAUAGAAAUGAUACCAUCCAACUUACCAAACUAUCACAUAAGAAUGCCCAAUAGCAGACAUUAGGAUGGGGCAAAACUGAAAGAAGGAUUGACUUCAUCAAACCCUUGAUGACAUACAAAAUGGAAACCAUUCAAGUUCAACUGAAGAAAACGAUAUCCCACAAGAUCUAGGGGUAAAAAGCAGACAAAGUUUAGGAAUGAAUUUAAACUACUGACUUACGUGUUGUCAGGAGUCUAUUUCUAUUCCUCAAUUUUACUCCUUUUUGUACAACUGUGUGCAUUCUCUCUCUGACUCUCUCUUCCUCCCUCCCAACACCCCCCACCCUCUUCUUGUUGCUGUUUCUCUCUAUUUCUUCAGAUCAAAGGGUUGAUCUCUUCCAAAUGUACAUAUUACAGAUCCACACUCUUAGAAAAACAACAGAAUCUCUCUAGUGCUUAAUUUAAUUUGUCCAUCUAAAAGAUAUUACUUGGCCCAAUUUGACCAAGCACCAUCUACUGGACCAAAUAAUGGUGGCCAGAGAAGCAUGGUCACAAUGGGGAAUGGGAAUAAGAUGGGGAUCAUAUGGGGACUAAGAAUGGGCAAGAACAUCUCCCAGAGUGGUAAGAGAAACAAUCUAAUGGGCAUAUAUUCCCAGUGUCCUCAAAUACUCCUCUACCCUAAAUUGCUUGCUCUGCUCUUGGGCCUUUGGAUGUGCUGACCUGAGUAGUGGUAACAAGUUCAGAAUUGUAGGGAAAGGGCUAUGAGUUUAUAUUUUAAGGGCAGAGAGUGGCAUUUAUGCAGUGGAAACACAUGGAAGAUGAGUAGGAUUGUGAAGGAUAAACUUGGGAAAAGAACAAUGACCUGAAGAGUACUAAUAAAUGCAGGGAUGGGUGACCAGAAAGAAAGGAUAGAUAGGAGGAAAAUCUUAGAGUAAAACUGGCAAAAGUUCACGGCCAGUUUAGUUAAUGGAAUCAAGGACAGUGAAAACGCAAUGAUAACUUCAGUGUUCUGGUUCUGAUGACCAAAGAAGGUCAUCAUUGUGAUGGAUAUUUUCUCUUAUUUCAUAACCUCUGCUCUAUGCUCUGUGUGAUUCCUCUCCUUCCAUUCAACUUGCCUUGCAUUUUCCGGAGUCUACUCCUUGGCUAAAUAGGGUCCUUCUUUCUCAGUAGCCCUUACUACCGAAUUAAAUCAUGGUGCCAGGGCUCAUUCUGCUUUGUUUCUGGAAACCUGCCAAGCAUGCUCCUGCCUUGGGGGCUUGCACUGAUUCGUUGCUCCAUAUUGAAAUGUUAUUUGCAUGGUCACCUGUGGCCCUGAUAUGGUUUGGCUGUGUCCCCACCCAGAUCUCGAAUUGUAGCUCUCAUAAUUCCCACGUCAUGGGAGGGACCCAGUGGAAAGUAACUGAUUCAUGAGAGCAGGUGUUUCCCCCAUACUGUUCUCAUGAUAGUGGUAUAAGUCUCACAAGAUCUGAUGGUUUUUAUAAAGGGGAGUUUCCCUGCACAUGCUCUCUCUCUCGCCUGUUGCCAUGUAAGAUGUGCCUUUUCUCCUCCUUUGCCGCCCACCGUGAUUGUGAAGCCUCCCCAGCCACGUGGAACUGUGAGUCCAUUAAACCUCUUUCCUUUGUAAAUUACCUGGUCUUGGGUAUGUCUUUAUCAGCAGCAUGAGAACAGACUAAUACAGGCUCCUAUCCACACUUCCUCAGGACUCUCUCAGAGACCCCUUGCCUUACCAGCCUAUGUUAUUCCCAGUAGCCUUCUAUCCCUGUAUCUGGCUUUAGCUUAUUCAUGACCUGAUAUUUUACCAUCAGGAAAUAAAUAUAAAUAUCAACAAUGAAAGUAAAAAUAAACGAGUAAGAAAAGAAACAAUUUAACAGACGAUGGCUUUUCCCACUUUUAUGUGAUGUUGCCUAGGCUUUGCCAUUUUAUUGAAUGGACAAACUUCUUUAUGACAUAACUUCCCUCUCACUCUCUCCUCCCAAUAGCAUAAAAUAAUGUAAAAGUCAGGAGAUCAAAAUCUAGCAGACCCAAUUUCAGUUCAAUAUAAUAUUGUAACAUUAACCAUAAAAACCAUAGAAAAAAACCUAGACAAUACCAUUCAGGACAUAGGCAUGGGCAAAGACUUCAUGACUAAAACACCAAAAGCAAUUGCAACAACAGCCAAAAAGUGACAAAUGGGAUCUAAUUAACCUAGAGUUUCUGCACAGCAAAAUAAACUAUCAUCAGAGUAAACAGACAACCUACAGAAUUAGAGAAAAUGUUUUCAAUCUAUCCACCUGACAAAGGGCUAAUAUCCAGAACCUAAAAGGAACUUAAACAAAUUUACAAGAAAAAAACAACCCCAUCAAAAAGUGCGUGAAGGGUAUGAACAGACACUUUUCAAAAGAAGACAUUUAUGUGGCCAACAAACAUAUGAAAAAAAGCUCAUCAUCACUUGUCAUUAGAGAAAUGCAAAUCAAAACCACAACGAGAUACCGUCUCAUGACAGUUAGAAUGGCGAUCAUUGAAAAGUCAGAAAACAACAGAUGCUGGAGAGGGUGUAGAGAAAUAGGAAUGCUUUUACACUGUUGGUGGGAGUGUAAAUUAGUUCAACCAUUGUGGAAGAUAGUGUGGUGAUUCCUCAGGGAUCUAGAACUAGAAAUAUCAUUUGAUCCAGCAAUCCCAUUACUGGGUAUAUACCAAAAGGAUAAUAAAUCAUUCUACUAUAAAGACACAUGUACACGUAUGUUUAUUGCAGCACUAUUCACAAUAGCAAAGACUUGGAAUACUAUGCAGCCAUAAAAAAUGAUGAGUUCAUGUCCUUUGCAGGGACAUGAAUGAAGCUGGAAACCAUCAUUCUCAGCAAACUAACACAGAAACAGAAAACCAAACACCACGUGUUCUCACUCAUAAGUAGGAGUUGAAGAAUGAGAACAUGUGGACACAGGGAGGGGAACAUCACACACUGGGUCCUGUUGAGCGCUGGGGGACAAGGGGAGGAGUAGCAUUAGGAGAAAUACCUAAAGUAAAUGAUGGGUUGAUGGGUGUAGCAAACCACCAUGGCACAUGUAUACCUAUGUAACAAACCUGCACGUUCUGCACAUGUAUCCCAGAACUUAAAGUAUAAUAAAUUUAAAAAAAGAAAAAAAAUUGUUGUCUUCUCUGUGCCCGUUUUCUUUUAUUUUAAAAUGGCCUGAAAUAAUUUAAUAUGUGUUAUGGAUUAAAUCGUGUCCCUCAAAAAGAUGUUGAAAUCCUAAGCCCCUUAUCUGUGAGUGUG
rnacentral:lncRNA from 10 species